rnacentral:lncRNA from 1 species
CUUUCACAAUAAUUGAUAAACAGUGAUCCAUAAAUAACUUUAUAAAUCAAAAAUUAAUUCAUUAAAUCGAUUCUCUUCACUAGAAUCAACACUAACACAAAAGAAAUAAGAAAAUUAAGAAGAAGAGAUAGCACCAAGCUUAUCCUCGACUCAGUACUAUCGUGGACUAGACCUCGGCUCACAACUCUCACAGUCUGGCCCUCGGCUUACAACUCUCACAGUCUGGCAUUUUCUUCCCCUCUCCCAUCCUCCUUAUACCACCCCGA